ACAGCAGUCGCCACGGUAAUACAGAGGGUGCGAGCGUUAAUCGGAUUUACUGGGCGUAAAGCGUGCGUAGGCGGCUUUUUAAGUCGGAUGUGAAAUCCCUGAGCUUAACUUAGGAAUUGCAUUCGAUACUGGGAAGCUAGAGUAUGGGAGAGGAUGGUAGAAUUCCAGGUGUAGCGGUGAAAUGCGUAGAGAUCUGGAGGAAUACCGAUGGCGAAGGCAGCCAUCUGGCCUAAUACUGACGCUGAGGUACGAAAGCAUGGGGAGCAAACAGGAUUAGAGACCCCUGUAGUCCCUGUCUCUUAUAC
rnacentral:rRNA from 1 species